rnacentral:rRNA from 1 species
CCUACGGGUGGCAGCAGUGGGGAAUAUUGCACAAUGGGGGAAACCCUGAUGCAGCGACGCCGCGUGAGUGAGGAAGUAUUUCGGUAUGUAAAGCUCUAUCAGCAGGGAAGAAAAUGACGGUACCUGACUAAGAAGCCCCGGCGAACUACGUGCCAGCAGCCGCGGUAAUACGUAGGGGGCAAGCGUUAGCCGGAUUUACUGGGUGUAAAGGGAACGUAGACGGCUAAUCAAGUCGGAAGUGAAAACCCAGGGCUCAACCUUGGGAGUGCUUUUGAAACUGAGAAGCUAGAGUGCAGGAGAGGUAAGCAGAAUUCCGAGUGUAGCGGUGAAAUGCGUAGAUAUUAGGAGGAACACCAGUGGCGAAGGCGGCUUACUGGAC